rnacentral:rRNA from 1 species
GGAAUAUUGGACAAUGGGCGAAAGCCUGAUCCAGCAAUGCCGCGUGAGUGAUGAAGGCCUUAGGGUUGUAAAGCUCUUUUACCAGGGAUGAUAAUGACAGUACCUGGAGAAUAAGCUCCGGCUAACUCCGUGCCAGCAGCCGCGGUAAUACGGAGGGUGCAAGCGUUAAUCGGAAUUACUGGGCGUAAAGCGCGCGUAGGCGGCUUUGUAAGUCGGAUGUGAAAGCCCUGGGCUUAACCUGGGAAUUGCAUUCGAUACUGCAUGGCUAGAGUAUGGUAGAGGGAAGUGGAAUUUCCGGUGUAGCGGUGAAAUGCGUAGAUAUCGGAAGGAACACCAGUGGCGAAGGCGACUUCCUGAGCCAAUACUGACGCUGAGGUGCGAAAGCGUGGGGAGCAAAC